rnacentral:rRNA from 1 species
AUAGCGAGAAAAGAAACUAACGAGGAUUCCCCUAGUAACUGCGAGUGAAGCGGGAAAAGCUCAAAUUUAAAAUCUGGUGGUCUUUGGCCAUCCGAGUUGUAAUUUAGAGAAGCGUCUUCCGCGCCGGACCCGUGCACAAGUCUCCUGGAAUGGAGCGUCAUAGAGGGUGAGAAUCCCGUCUUUGGCACGGAUCCCUGGUGCUUCUGUGAUGCGCUCUCGAAGAGUCGAGUUGUUUGGGAAUGCAGCUCAAAAUGGGUGGUGAACUCCAUCUAAAGCUAAAUAUUGGCGAGAGACCGAUAGCGAACAAGUACCGUGAGGGAAAGAUGAAAAGCACUUUGGAAAGAGAGUGAAACAGUACGUGAAAUUGUUGAAAGGGAAACGCUUCGAGUCAGUCGCGUCGCCCGAGACUCAGCCUUGCUUUGGCUUGGCGUACUUCUCGGUCGACGGGCCAGCAUCAAUUUCAUCCCUCGGAUAAUGGCAAGGGAAAGGUGGCACCUUUACGGGUGUGUUAUAGUCUCCUGUCGCAUGCGAGGGGUGGGAUUGAGGAACUCAGCACGCGCCUCUCGGCGUCGGGGCUUCGGCCCACGUUUACGUGCUUAGGAUGUUGGCGUAAUGGCUUCAAACGACCCGUCUUGAAACACGGACCAAGGAGUCUAACAUGCCCGCGAGUGUUCGGGUGGAAAACCCGUGCGCGUAAUGAAAGUAAAAGUUGGGACCUCUGUCGUGGAGGGCACCGACGCCCGGACCAGACCUUCUGUGACGGAUCUGCGGUAGAGCGUGCAUGUUGGGACCCGAAAGAUGGUGAACUAUGCCUGAAUAGGGUGAAGCCAGAGGAAACUCUGGUGGAGGCUCGUAGCGAUUCUGACGUGCAAAUCGAUCGUCAAAUUUGGGUAUAGGGGCGAAAGACUAAUCGAACCAUCUAGUAGCUGGUCC